rnacentral:rRNA from 1 species
UGUCUGGCGGCAGUAGCGCGGUGGUCCCACCUGACCCCAUGCCGAACUCAGAAGUGAAACGCCGUAGCGCCGAUGGUAGUGUAGGGUCUCCCCAUGCGAGAGUAGGGAACUGCCAGACAU